rnacentral:piRNA from 1 species
UGACCAAGAUCCACAUCACUGCAGACAUGC